rnacentral:lncRNA from 1 species
GAAUCGUUAGUAUAACUAUUCAAGAAUAUGUGGUCAAAAUUUCAAAGCAAAAUUCCCAUUAGUUCGAAUGCAAUGAGCACUUAAGUGACCGCCCGUCGGUUCUGUGAAGAAGCGCACGGUAAUUAUAACGGAGCGGUCGCCCAGGCCCUUCUUUUCCAGCUACCUGCCUCAAUACCGCUGUGCUAUUGAAUAAUAGAAUGACGCAUAUGAGCAAGAAGAGGGAUUGCUAUAUGGUGCUGGAAUAGCUGAUUAACCGAUAAAAAUUGCGACGUCAGGGGCGUACGCAAUCCAGGUGCUCGGAUGGCAAUCGCCCAUGGACUGCACGCGGUAACUCCACUAUUUCCGGCGAAAAUCGUUUGAAAAAAUUUCAAAGUGUACUUGAAAACAUAAAUAAAAUAUCCUCCAAGUUUAAA